AACGAACGUUAGCGGCGCGCCUAACACAUGCAAGUCGCGCGAGAAAGGGCUUCGGCCCCAGUAAAGCGGCGCACGGGUGAGUAACACGUAGGUCAUCUUCCCCUGAGUGGUGGAUAACUCUCCGAAAGGAGAGCUAAUACAGCAUAAGACCACGACCUCGCCGAGGUUGUGGCCAAAGCAGACCUCUUCACGAAAGUUUGCGCUUAGGGAUGAGCCUGCGGCCCAUCAGCUAGUUGGUAGGGUAAUGGCCUACCAAGGCUAAGACGGGUAGCUGGUCUGAGAGGAUGAACAGCCACACUGGAACUGAGACACGGUCCAGACUCCUACGGGAGGCAGCAGUGGGGAAUCUUGCGCAAUGGGCGAAAGCCUGACGCAGCGACGCCGCGUGAGCGAUGAAGGCCUUCGGUUGUAAG
rnacentral:rRNA from 1 species